CCAACGGUAGCGUCGUAUCAUCUUAAAGUAUUUAAAUAUGUUCCGCCUUAAAACCAUAAUUGCAUGUGUUCCUACGCCUUGCUUUGGCUUUGUUUACAAACCGUAGGCAAGCUACUAGUAGCUAGCUCAAGCAGAACGUACAACCAAAUAUAUAUAUAUUUUUAUAUAUAUUGUUAGCCAACAAGCUACUUACCAGCAUGCCGGAAAAAAAGCACAUUGUGACUGGAUGCCAUAGUGUAAACGUUACACUAUUUUCUGAAGAAAGAAGACAUCCGACAGCAGUGUCUCAUUUUUACUUUGGGUGGACAGGCUUCACCGAAAAUUACAAUUAUGUCACGGGUGUGCAGUGCACAUUUUGAGCAAAGUUGCUUUAUCAAUUUGGGAGAAUAUUCGAUUGGUCUCGCCAGGAAGCUAAUCCUAAAGACUGAUUCAAUACCAUCAUUGACAGUGGAACAGUGGGUCUUGCCAGGAAGCUAAUCCUAAAGACUGAUUCAAUACCAUCAUUGACAGUGGAACAGUGGGUCUCGCCAGGAAGCUAAUCCUAAAGACUGAUUCAAUACCAUCAUUGACAGUGGAACAGUGGGUCUCGCCAGGAAGCUAAUCCUAAAGACUGAUUCAAUACCAUCAUUGACAGUGGAACAGUGGGUCUUGCCAGGAAGCUAAUCCUAAAGACUGAUUCAAUACCAUCAUUGACAGUGGAACAGUGGGUCUCGCCAGGAAGCUAAUCCUAAAGACUGAUUCAAUACCAUCAUUGACAGUGGAACAGUGGGUCUCGCCAGGAAGCUAAUCCUAAAGACUGAUUCAAUACCAUCAUUGACAGUGAAACAGUGGGUCUCGCCAGGAAGCUAAUCCUAAAGACUGAUUCAAUACCAUCAUUGACAGUGGAACAGUGGGUCUUGCCAGGAAGCUAAUCCUAAAGACUGAUUCAAUACCAUCAUUGACAGUGGAACAGUGGGUCUUGAAAGUGCUGAAUGUCAUUAUGAUUUACACUUUUCAUCUCCUUUUGGUCUUUUCACCAUCUUCAAGCUGUAAUGAUAGACAUUUUGGAAAAUUCAACAUCUAUUUUGUCUGCACAGCUUCCCAGGCAACCACCACAGCAGGAAUGCUGUGAUACAAAAUCUGCUUUCCAAAGGCAAAGAAGGGGGGGUAUGCUGUGAAACAUGUGAAGACAGACCCAACAUACUAUUCCUGGAUCUCCUCUUCAACAAGGUCACGCUUGAUCCAGCAUGUUUACAGUGUGUGGGGAAGCUGUGUGAGCUGUCCAUCCCAGGACCCCUGUUUGCCCAGUGUGAGAGUUCUGACAAGGAGGAGGCCAUAGUGUCCCGCUUCUUGGAGGUGACUAAAGUCUGCUUGAUUGAAGCGGGGUACAUGGGUCCCCCUCCCCUCCCCUCCCCGUCAAUCUCUGUGGUUGGUUGCAUUACCUAAAGCCUAAGUAAUUAACUUUUACAUGAUAUGAUAUUACAUUUUGUUAAUUUCUAUGUUUUUUUAGCAUUUGGAUGGGAGAUGAGUGUUAGAAAUUGUAUGAAUCAAUGGGGUCCUGGACACUAGGGUGGCUGGGUGCCUAUAUUAGACUUAUGGCUCUAAUUAUUUAUUUUAUGUCAAAUGAUGUCUCACAUUUAUUUCCCACCAUUAAUUCUCAUGAGUGUUCAUGUUGAUCAAUAUUUUGGGCUAUGCGGUCCUAUUGUAAAUGAUCAAAUAUUUGUCUGAUCAAUACAUACAAUUCUGAACAUAUUGCUAUUUAUAAUGCAAGCAUUUCACUACACCCACAAUAACAUCUGCUAAAUAUGUGUAUGUGACCAAAAAAUGUUAUUUGAUUUAAUGCAGAGGCACCAAUAAAUUGUCCAGUACA